UCCUACGGGAGGCAGCAGUGAGGAAUAUUGGACAAUGGUCGAGAGACUGAUCCAGCCAUGCCGCGUGCAGGAAGACGGACCCUACGGGUUGUAAACUGCUUUUUUACGGGAAGAAUAAUGGUGACGUGUCACCAGAUGACGGUACCGUAGGAAUAAGGACCGGCUAACUCCAUGCCAGCAGCCGCGGUAAU
rnacentral:rRNA from 1 species